GCUCAGGGUGGUUUAAGAAGGGAUACAGGUGGUGAUGGCGGCUGUGGACUCACCUGCCUGGGUAUGAAUCUCAGUGCCUCCAUUUAUUACCUGUGUGACUUUGGGCAAGUUACCUGACCUCUCUGUGCCUCAUUCCCUCAUGUGUAUAAUGGGGAUAAAAGUAUCUACCUCAGAGUGGUGAGGAUCAAAU
ensembl:snoRNA